rnacentral:lncRNA from 1 species
UUUUUAAGCGAAAGAGAAACAGGAAGGGUCCUCUUUUCCCCUCAGCUCCUGCUCCAGCGGCACAAUGUGAUCCACCAGCUAGGAGGGACGCCAAUAAGGCGUCCGAUAAGAUAAGUCUUAUAAAAUAUAUAGAUGUAUGAUAAUUGAGACUGAGCUAACAGAUGAGAAUCCUAGUCAUUGGCCAAGCAGCAAUGUAACUAAUACAAGUCUGUGUAUUCAUUUGGGCCUAACUCAGGCGGGCGGCUGGCAUAAAGCUCACACGUGGCAGUGGGGCUCAGGCGGCAUUUGGCGGAAAGAUUUAUCAUAACAUCUAUGUACCUACUUAUCUAUCAUCGCUAUAUAUAUAUAUCAUCUAUAUCAUCUAUCUAUCUACCUAUCUAUGUCUAUCUAUCUAUCCAUGUCUAUCUAUCUAUCUAUCUAUCUAUCUAUCUAUCUAUCUAUCUGCUUUUGAGAUGUAGAAGAGAGGGGAGAAGAGAAAAGCACAAGAGAGCUGCUUGGGGACCAAACCAGGAGAUGGCCACCAUUGUGUCAUCUGCAAGCGUGGGGCAUCGUGUGAUCUCCUCUACAGUGCAUUGCAAACCCUUUAGGGGCUACCCUUUGUCUGCUCCCUGUGAAACACCCCCGCCCCAGCCUGCUGUCUAUCAGGUAGAAUUUCCUGCACACUGGAUCCAACAUUCAGAGAGGUGGAAAGGCCACAUAUUUUAAUUAUCCUCUGUUAAGCAAUUUCCCUCCCUAUCAAGUCCAUUUUAUGCAUGCUGCUCACGGGUUUCAGUAGUCAUAAUGACUCUUUUGUUUUUCAGGAGGGAAUGUCAAAAUUAAGAGAACUGUAAAACCAUUCACCACCCAUUAUUUUUAUAAUUAGUAGGGGAUGGGCUGAGGGCAAGAUCAAGCCUCCAUAUUUUAGCAUCUUUUCUUUGGAUUUUUUUUUUUUUUUUCAGAUGACAAGGCUGCAUCGAGUCUCAUCUGACAAGCUAUUGUCAGGCAGAUGUCUUCAUUAAGUCUGUGUAGGAAGACGAGCACAUCAAAGGGAAGAAGCCAGCAUUUUCCUUCUGGAACUCUGCAUAGGAAUCAUAUAUUUUGGAAGAUGAUCUGUGUCUAAGAUGAACUAAAAGUGAGUCCUUUGGACAUUUAAUAUUCCUCUUCCCAGCUGGAGGAUUGAAAUAGCCUCCCCUCUCUCGUGUCUAAGUUGGCUACUUUCAUGUUUCUAAAAGCUUGUCAAGUGCCUCUUCUCGGGAUUUAUUCCCGGUUUUGAUUCUUUGGUGCUUUUCAAGUUACCUCAUAUCCUUGCACGGGUCGCAUUCUAAUUUCUCUUUAAGUAGCAAAGCACUUCAGCAGUCCCUGAGGCAGAGACUCUUACCUCAGCAGGCCAGAGAAAGUAGAGCCCAGGAUCGACCAACAGAGCAGACCCUGGAGACCAAACCAGAGACGCAGCGGUCUGUCAAAUUCUUGGUCUGUUAAUUGACUUCAAUAUUCUGAUAACUAGGUUUGCUUGCUAUCUUGAUUAUUUAUUUAUUUUACUUUCUCCUUCCAACUUUCUGUGUAGAUAAGGGUGACCUUGAACUCCUGCCUCCCCUGUACCUCUCAAGGUUUUCAUCACCUUGUGUGACAAGACCCAGAGUUUAGUUUUUGGUCCUGGGGAUCAAACCCAGGGCCUCACAGAUGCUGGAAAAAAAUAUGUCACAGCCUUCCCUUUUAAAAAUAAAAUUCAGUUUAUCUUUAUUACGUAUAUGUAUGUGGGUCUCUGUGUGGGUGUUUGAAUGGCAGUGCAGGGGGUGGGGAGGCAUCACAUCCCUUGGAACUGGAGUUACAGGUGGUUAUGAGCUGCCCCAUGUGGAUGCCAGGACUUGAACUCAGGUCCUCCAAAGAGCAGUAUGUGUUUCUAACCUGUGAGCCAUCUUCUCUCCAGCCUCAGCCCUCACAUGGUUGACAACAAACGUCACAGGAUGGAAUGAUGCCAUAAUAAUUAUAACGCAUAUGGCCAGCGUAACAGCAACAACUACAAAAUGUAUCACGUGACCAGAGUUAGGAAAGUAGAGCUUGCUCUUGCCAUCUCACCUGGUACUUCUCCCUCACCCAUCUAGUGCCCUUUCCCUCUCUUGUGCUAGAGACAGAACCGGGAACUUACACAAGCCGGCAAAUGCUCUCAGACACACAAACAAAACAAAAUAAAGGAGCCAGCGAGAGGAGGCCCAGCAUUUUAGUCUCCCUGACCCCUGAUUGUGGAUACAAAGUGACUAGCAGUCUUCCUCUUGUGAAAAGUGGGGCUGUGCCUCACCCUCCAAAUCCCCAACUCACCCAAGGUCCCUGUGAUGACUGUCAUUGGUCUUAAACCCUGAGCCAAAGUAAACCUCUCCAUCUCUGGUUGAUGUUGUCUCUUAUUUUGUCAGAGCUACAAGAGGAAGUACCUAAUUGCAAAAUUUGCUACAUUUUAUUCUUUUGAUUGGCAACCGUUUUUCUGGGAAGGUUCUCUAUUAUACGGAGAACUACAUAGACUUUCAAUUAAUUACCAUGCUUCACUCAGAAAUCUAGAAUCUAUUGGUGGUGACGGCUGUCCCAGUUAUGAUUCCUACCGUAUGGAAGCUUUCCUCCCCCCUGCCUUCUCCCCUCUCUUCCUUUCUCCCCUUCUCUCUUCCUCAUACGCUUUCUAUCUUAAUAUGAAGUCAUGUGUUAUUUCUUUCAGUGUGUUUGCAGUUAAUACUUUUUUUCUUCUGAGCAUAUUCCCACAUUUGGCCACAUAAUACCUUCUCAAGCUGGCUUCUGUGUUCCUUUGAUCACCAUGUUGUUUUGAACCACUUUCUGACUCUCUGCAUCAGUAAGAUAUUCCAGGUUCUACCCUUUCUAACUUCUGGUUGGAGUGGGCCAUUGCCCAAGAGCGUGGGAUACUACGUUCAGAGGCUUAAACUUUGAUGGGUUCUCAUUGCUACUGGGUGGAUUACGUCUAGUAGUUCCCAGGGUGUGCACACACAUUCAUCCCUUCCUUGUUUCUUCAUCUCUCUUGCUCAUUCACAAUAAAUACCAAAAACCUCAUAGUCAAUAUUUAACCACCGUCCAUUGUCUUCAGAAUGAAGGCAUGGUGACAAAAAUAUCUUGUUCAUAAAUUACUUGGGUCACCUCUUUCCUCCUUUACACCCUCUGGUGUGCUUAUAUUAUCCUUUUGAAAUGGAGUAAGGUUCAUUUGUUUUAGUUUGAGUUCCCUUUACGGGAUAAAAUAUAUUCAUUGUUAUUUUAUGACUGUUAAAACACUGCUGCGGUUCAGAAGUCAAAGUGAUAAAAGUGACAGAAAAUAACACUGCUCCCAACUUCUUCAUCUCAUUUCUACCUCAAAAGGAUUUUUCAAAAGUUUAAAGUGAGCAGGCUCCCUUUUGUUUCAAACUCUGUAAUUACUUCCUUCCCCGAUCCUGGCGUGAUCUGACCUGCCUAAUUUCUAGUUUCCUCCUGUGCAGGGCCCCUCCUGCUCCCUCUUCCAACCAGAUGCAUUUCCUUAGUGCUUUGAAGAGCUGUGCUUCUUGCUUUCUAAGACAACCUCACACACUCUACCCCAAUCUGAGUUCAUUUUCUUUGGCUGUAACAAAACCCUUGAGACUGGAUACUGUGUAACAAAUGGAGCUGUUGCUGUGUGUGUGUGUGUGUGUGUGUGUGUGUGUGUGUGACAGAGUGAGGUUUUCAUCCCACAGUGGAGACAGAGUCUACAUAGUGUGGUCAUUUCAUGAACAAAAUAACAAGAAAAAGCUGGAAAAAGGGCUUAGUGGUUGAGAGCACUUAGCGCUCUAACAGAGGACCAAUGAUGGGGUGUCAGUACAAACAUCAGGAGGCUCAGAGCCACCCCUAUAUCCAGCUAGCUCCGAGGAAUCUGAUGCCUUCUUCUGGCCUCUGAUAACACUGCACAUACAUGCACAUUCACUCACGCAGACACACAUACACAGCAUUAUUAAAAAUAAUAAACACAAAUAAAUAAGCCCAGAGCUGGGCAUGGUGGUUUCCUCAUCGCUGUAACUAUUUCGGAGUCUGAUGUGGAAUUCCUUUACACUGCGUGGAUAUGCGUUGCUGUGAUUGGUUUAAUGACGAAGCUGACUGGCUGACAGCGGGAACGGAGAAAGCGAGGCGGGAAGAAGCAGGGCAGAGUCUGGAGUCCUGAGAGAUGCAGAGAGGAGCAGGAUGGGCAUGCCAUAUUGACAAAAGAACUGCUUUUAGGAGGUGUGCACUGCCUGCUUGGCACUGUGACACGGAAGUGUGAGACCAAAACCCCUGCUGUAAUCUCAGCAUGUUCCAAGGCUCCAGACAACGAGAGGAGAUAAGGGUCCAGGAAGUAUGGAGUCAGAAGGUGGACUGUGGGACACUGUUCUAGGUUGCCAGCCGUGCAAGACGACAAGCUGAGCAUCCCUUGUCACUACCCUAUCCAGAUGGAUGCGCUCUCCCGUCCGGAGAACGCAAUGGGAAAUGCACUGCUUUCUUCCUCUUUUGGAUGAGAAUUGUGCUAAAUAUAAGUGGUCUAAUCCCCGUGUUUAUGCAUCACACACGUGAGGACUGUCCCUGAACAGGGGUGUGGACCUGGCAUACUUAGGCUUUCAAAGUAAACUCGAUUCAACUGGAACAGUAUUCAGAGUUGGACAUCGUGGUGAAUAUCUGGAAUCUCAGCCGCUGAGGAAGCAGAGGCAGGGGGAUUGCUUGAGCUCAGGAAUUUGGAUCAACCUAGGAAAUAUACCGAGAGCAUGUCUUAACAAAAAGAAGAGGAGCGAACAAACGGGGAUGGCAAAGCUUCAAUCAAUCAAUGGCCGUGCGCUCAUAUAGCAUCUCCAGAGCCUGGACUCCCUUCCCCGACCCCCUGCGUGCUGAAAGAAGGUGGAAACAGCGCUAGAGGAUUGGCAAGGUGGCUCUGCAGGUGAAGCUGCUUUUUCAGCGAGUUCAAUUCCCAGAACCCCUGUAGAGGAGGAAGGGGAGACUUGACUGCCAUAGCAUGUGUGGUCCCCCCAAAUCAGGUGUCCUUGCACAAAAAACAAAACACAAAUUAAAAACGUAGCAGUAUAGAGAGGAAAGAGCACCCAUGACAAAAUUCCCACAGCGCUUUCUGUACUGUAUGCACUGUGAUUUGAUUACACAUUCAUACAUCUCAGUGCAGUGGGACAAAGAAUUAAGACAAUAAUUGAAUUCUUAAUUUUGUGUUUUUUCUUUGAGUAUAAAGAAAAAAAAGGAAAUUUAUUAGAGGGGGAUUUAAAACCAUUGCUGGAGCAUCAUACAAUUUUCUGUAUUAUGCGAUGUUUAAUAUGCUUAUUGGAUUCUUUCUUUUGUUUUUUUGUUUUUGUUUUUGUUUUUUAAGACAGGUUCUCACUUUGUAGCCCUGACUGGUGGUCUGGAACUCACAGAAAUGUGUUUGUCUGUGCUGGGAUUAAAGGUCACCAGCCCUGGCGGUUUUGCGAUUCUUAGAUUGUAUUUUAUUGUAAUUUGUUUUUUCCAAACACAUAAUGCUCUUUGAUCCUGAUUUUGUAUUUGUGACUUUGCAUUCUUUUUUUUUAAACAGUGGUUCUCUCUCUCUCUCUCUCUCUCUCUCUCUCUCUCUCUCUCUCUCUCUGUGUGUGUGUGUG